rnacentral:tRNA from 1 species
UGGGGUAUAGCUCAGUGGUAGAGCAUUUUACUGCAGAUCAAAAGGUCCCUGGUUCAAAACCGGAUGCCCUCU